UACGUAGGGUGCAAGCGUUGUCCGGAAUUAUUGGGCGUAAAGAGCUCGUAGGCGGUGUGUCGCGUCGGCCGUGAAAACCUGCAGCUUAACUGUGGGCUUGCGGUCGAUACGGGCAUCACUGGAGUUCGGCAGGGGAGACUGGAAUUCCUGGUGUAGCGGUGAAAUGCGCAGAUAUCAGGAGGAACACCGGUGGCGAAGGCGGGUCUCUGGGCCGAUACUGACGCUGAGACGCGAAAGCGUGGGGAGCGAACAGG
rnacentral:rRNA from 1 species